GAUAACUUCUGAAAUUAAUGAAAAGAUUCUAAAGGAUUUUACAAGAAAUAUUCAGCAAAUUUCAGUUGAAAAUGAAGAAAACUUUAUUUAUUGCUACGAUCUAAUACAGUUUAAAUCCGGCGAAGAUUCGUUUGUAUAAAAUUUAAAUUGCUCGAGCAAGAACGAGGAAGCACGACACGAGCUUGGGGGUAUUGCUAAUCAAAAAUCGAAAUUUCAAUUUUGGACCACCCUCGGCCAAGUGGUCAAGUGGACAAGACAACCAAAAUCCUCAAGACAUUCAAGAUGGCCAAGCCAAUCUAAAGAAUAAUGAUAACGUGGAGGAUCAAAUGGAUCAGGAGACUCAAAUCGUAACAGAAGAAGAAACACCUGUCGAUUUAGAUGAGGAUACUCUCAAAAUCUUGAGUGAAGAUCCACGAGAUUCAAAAGCCGUUCACUGUAAAAUGCAUCCCUCUGUGGUUGCAAGAUGAGAUUUUUGAAUUUCAGAAGGAUUAACAAAACUUGUGAUCGAUGACUUGCUUAGAAAAUAUCCGCCAGUGGCUAGCUUAAGCGCUCCAAAUCUAAAUCCAGAAAUUGCAGUAGUUUUAACUGAAUCAGCCACCAAAAGAGAUGGGUUUCUUGUUGAAAAUCAAAAAGUAGCUGGCUCUGUCCUAUUCACCUUAGGUGCUGUAAUAACUAUGCUGAUUGAAGAAGAUGAAAGUAUAGAUAAAUUAACUGUCUUGGAAAGACUCAAUGAUACAGGAAAAUUGAUUAUUCAAAUGCACCAUAAUCAAAAUGAGUCUAGGAAAGCUUUCAUAUAUCCUCGUCUCACAAAGCAAAUAAAUAGCCUCUUGAAAAAGGCUAAGUCUGACACACUUAUUUGGAGAGAAGUUGAGCGAUAGAAUUAAAGAAGCUCAUGCCAUGGACAAAAUGGGUCAAAACAUUAAAAUUCGAUCAUCCACGAAAAAUUUAAAUCAGCCUUCGUCUUCAAGAAAAAAUCUAAACUUAGGAGUUCUGUAGGGAAAGAGACCAUUCUCUAACCAGGCGGGUUUUCAAAUGCGUCAGCAGGGGCCCAACGUCGAUUGUUCUUCAGAGGCAGGACUUAGAGUCAACAAGAUAUAAAUUAUCGAACUCAAAAUGCGAAGAACACCAGGGGAAGAGGCAGGACCAAGUAAAAGUAGGAUUAAAAAGUGUUGCUGCAGAGAUGUUCCGAAGAAGAGGCCAGUGCUUCGGAGAUGUUUGCAGUUGAUGAUGAUGAAUCAUUAGAAAAAACAUGGACGGAACUGACCGUGAAAAAAACCUAUGAUAUCGGUGCAGCUAUCGAAGACUUUGUAAGCGACGAUGAAGAUUUGCUGUUUGAUUUACAACAAGACUUCUCCGAAGAAUUAGAUGAUUUUCCGCAUGUAAUGCAAUUUAUACGUAAAUGUCAAGAUCGCAUGAAACGUCAGCAUAAAAAAAUUAAAAAAUUACGAAAUAAGUUAGUGACCUUGAAGCAACAUCAACCUAGUGAAUUAAAGAAUAAUUUCGUUGAUUCCGAAACUCAAACAACUCAUUGGGAUAAAAAUAAUUUGUCACUACAAGUCUGGAAUUCGAAUGUCGAAUGGCAAACUGGAAGCAUCGUUGAUCAAGUCAAGGAAGCGGCCGAAUCUGCUCUUCAACAGACUGGGUUUGUUUACGAGGAAACUUCAGGACUAUAUUACGAUUACAAUACUGGAUAUUACUACGACGCAAAGUUGGGGUUGUACUACGAUGGCAAUUUUGGAAGAUAUUAUUACUAUGAUGCGGAUAGCAAAUCUUAUAAAUUUCACAGUCAGUCACAUUCUGAAAGAACCACCAUCCAACAAAAAGAAAUUAGGGAGAAAACAAAACAAAAAUUGCCAAAGGGUGAAGCCGAUAAAAAUAAGCUCACACGAGAAGAUGAUAAUUUGAAUGAACCCGAAGAAGGAGAAUGUUCUGACAACAGUAACCACAGUAGUCAGGACUUUUGUUCAGAUACAUCCUCAGUUAACGAGACCGAUAAGGAAAAAAAAGAAGAUUUAGCGAAAAUUUAUCCACCCUGCAUGCGAAUUGUUGUCAAAGAGACUAAUCUACGAAAGCUGAGAUUGGGUACGCUUUUCUUUGUUCCUUACACCGGGGGUUCCAUAGGACGCGAAGGAAGUCACAGCGUCUUAAUUCCAGAUAUAAACAUCAGUAAGCACCACGCAAGGUUUCAGUAUAAUGAAGUGAAGAAACAAUACGAAAUAAUAGACUUGGGUUCCAGAAAUGGUACAAUUCUUAAUAAUAAGAGACUGUCUGUAGCCAAGUACGAGUCUGAUCCGCACGAAGUAGUGCAUGGAUCUGUUGUUCAAGUAGGCUGUACAAAACUCUUAUGUCAUAUUCAUAGUGGUUAUGAAACAUGCGGAAACUGUGAACCUGGACUUUUGCUAUGCACAACAGGCGUCGAAGAAUCUUCCAUUUCUAAGAAAGAGCAACACAAAUCGGAGCUGCGUCGCUUAAAAACGAAAUUUGGAGUGGAAAACGAUAGUGCUGAUGUUGCGAGUCAAGUAGCCGCUGGAUAUCACGAUAGAGCACUGAUAAGGAGAAUAUGCUUUGGCUCUUCUGAUCAUCAUAUAAAAACGCAGCAGAGUUCUUUAGACACGUCAAUUGCAAAGGAUAACAAAGGCUUUAAGUUAUUAACCAGAAUGGGUUGGUCAGAAGGAAAAUCUCUUGGCAAGGAUGGCGAGGGUAGGACAGAACCUUUACUGUUAGAAAGGGAUGGAACAGAAAUAGAUGAUUAUGAAAUUUUGAUUGAUUUACUAGAUGAUGUCGUAAUUGAAGGACUGAAGGACACGUUCUGGAAAAAGGAAUGGAAUCUGUAACAGCACGUUAUAACGCCGAAAAUUAUAGAAAAGAUGACUCGCUGAAGAAAAAACGCAAAAAAUAACAGGUCUUUAGAAAACGAUAGUGACGAAAAAAAUAAUCUUUCCAUGGGACAAGAGGAGUACGGUUGUGUUGAAUAUGAACAAUUAAUGCCUGAAAAUGUAACCUCUGAAACUCUCGAAGCAAAGCGUUUGUGGUUACUUGAACAUAAUGUCUCAGUUGAACAAAAUAUAUCUAAUGUAAAUGAGUGCAUGAAUGAUACGUUUUAUUUCCAAAGAAUCCAGAUCAAUCAAGCCCAAAGGCAAAUAGAAAAAUUAAUUUCCUGUUUGCUGUAUUUAAAGUAAGCAGGCUGUUUGAUGGAGCAUGCAAAUCCCCUAUUAGGGAAAGAUGUAAUAGCAACAUGGCUAGAUGCUCUGUUCAAAAUUGCUGCACUUAUAAGGAAAUAUAUCAAAACAAUGUCUCUCCAAACACAGACAACAAAAGCACAUCACAACUUCUUUGAAUUGCCUUCAACAGAGAAUGACAGAAUUGCUCCUCGAUCCCUUCAGCUGACACAAGAAGCCAAAGAAGCGAGUAAAACUCUAGAAAGUGAAGUUCUUAAACCUGUAGUCAUAUUUCUGCUUCUAAAUGUCUACAUGCAAGAAGAUGUAAAUCUCUUCAUAAAAAUUAUUGAGGAAUAUCUCUGUAUGAUCCAAAUGCUUGAUAUUCGGUUGUUUUAUAAAACAAAAUCAUAAUAAAGGCUAAGGACAUCUUGGAAGGGAUUUUUGUUGCAAAUUUAUUC